UACAUGAUUAUGCAUUUGAUAUUUUGUGUCUUAUUUUAUGCUAUCUACGUGUACAUUGAAUUUUACUCAUGUCAAUUAAGUUUUAAAUGUAUUUGGUAUAGACCAGUUGGUGCUAAGUAUAGUCAUAGAAUUUUAAGUAUAUUCAUCGUGAUACUGUAAAUAAAGUAAAAUCAAUGGUUGUCUAUGGAGCAAUCGCGAAAAGAGCUUAUUCUUUAACAACUGCUGUAUUUAUUCGUUACAGCAAUCGUUUCAGCAAUCUUGCUACUAACCAUCAUCCAGUGUCUGCAGUGGGCUCAUGGACUUUACUAAAUGCCACUAGAAGAUAUACAUGUAGAAGCAAAGAUAUUGCUUUCUCCGAUUCUACUCUUAAUAAACUAAGACUCCAAAGUUGUGGUAGGAAAAUUUUACUUUAUUUCUGGUAUCACGGUGAAUAUACUUAAAAUUCUGUGAAUAUACAUGUACAUGUACUUAGCACCAACUGGUCUAUUACUCUAACAUUUACAGCCUUUGAUAGCAAUGAUGAUGUACAUGUGUAAUUAAAUUUAAAGUUUGUACAUGUUGAUCUGCAUAUACACAAACAUACAAUGUACAUAUACAUGUACAUGUACAUAAGAUGUACAUGUACUUGUGUAUGUUUAUGUAAGUGAGUAACUUUUUUCAUGUACACAGUACUUAUACCUCAAUUUAGUAAAAGUAAUAAUUAUCUUGUAGUAUCGUCUCAUUUCCCAUUUUUACGACCUGGGGGCCGGCAAAGCCCCCAGGUCGUUCCUAUAAUUGAUUUCACCGUCGUGCUAUCUAUAUUUAUAGAUUUGUAUGUCGACACUUACAUUUCUUCUAUGCAUGUUGUAUUAGAGAAAUAACAUGCCUUAGCAACCACCCACCCACACUCCUUUAUGUAAGUGGGUGUGGCCACAGCAAACGAAAUGGCAGCUUACACACGGGAUGAAGUUAUGAGCUUUCUAACAGCAAGAGAACAUAGAGAUACUGUCUAAAGACUUCCCUAGAAGCAUUUGAAGGAUUGAUUUUGAAAGAGACUAUGAAGUUUUAUUGGAGCGUUUAAAUUCUUUGCCAAAAAAAUUAUCGGCUAACAUAAUGGUACCUAUUGGAAAAGUUGCCUAUAUCCCAGGACAAUUGUAUAGAACAAAUGAGGUACUAGCAUUCUUAGGUGAUAAUUGGUUUGCUGAAAGAACAACUUAUCAAGUAUGCUACAUUGUUGAGCAUCGCUUACAAG